UGCAGGCAAGAAGAUGGAACUGGAAAAUAUCAUCUGAAUGAGGACUGAAGUCAAGGACUGCUGUGGUUGAAUUAAGGAAAGGCUGGAAGAAGCUGAAGAGGUUGGCGACCCCAAAAGAAGACCAGAAGUCUCAACUCUCCCAGACUCCUGAGAUCUCUCAGACAUUGAGUCCCCAACCAGCAGCAUACAAGAACUGGUGGGAGGACCCUGACGCAUAUACAGCAGAGGACUGCCUGGUCUGGCCUCAGUGAGAGAAUCCUUGCCUAACCCUUUAGAGACUUGAGGACCCAGGAAGUGGGGAGACCUGGUCAGUGUCUUCGAGUAACUGUUGGUUGCCUUUGGUGGCCAGAUGAUGGUGUGAGAUCCCCUAAACUGGAUUUACUGACAUUUGUGAGUUGCCAUGUGGGUUCAGGAGAGUCAACCUGGUUUCUCUGGAAGAGGAGAUAGUCCUUUUUAUUACUGAGCCAUACCUCCGUUCCCUCUUUCAAAUUCUGUUUUUAAUUCUUCUCUCAUGUAUUACAGCCCAAAAAAGAGAUUUUUAUCUCUCCUCUCCUCAGGGUCAGUCUUCCCUACCUGUCUACUCCCCCCAAGACCUUUCCUGUAUUAUUGUCAUGUUUGUCUCUAAUGUAGUAUCUUGUUUGUUGAGUUUUGUUAUUUGGUUACACAGUCAUUGCUAAAAGAUUUGUCGUAAGAUUUAAAUUUGUGUUUUGUUUUUCAAACGAUUGUAAAGGAAAUUUAUUGUGUUUCCAAAAUAUUGUCAAUAUUAAAAUAUGAAAACUCUCUAUGUUUAUUUAGUGGUUCAGUGGUAGCUAUCAACACAGCAGAAUCCAAAAUCAGCUUGGAGGCAAGUCCUUCGGACAUCUCUGAGGGGUCAUCUUGUUGUUUGAAGAACCAUCUUAAUUGUAACUAAGAACAUCCCCUGGGUGGAAAAUCCUGUAUUGCAUAAAAUGAUGAAGGCAGGAGAAAUGACUUCAAUUCAACAUGAAAUUAAUCCCCCAGACCAUCAUUAGAGUGCAAAGGUGACCUGAGCAUCUGAGCCUUCAGGAAGACAUGCUUCAUGGAUCUCAAUUUGGAUUUCUGAACAGAGAAACAGGUAUCAUCAAUUACUGGUACUUGUAAUGCACAACAUUGCCAUGAAGAAAACGGAAUUAGCACAGAGCAUGCAGAGUACCUUCCAACUCCAUGAACAUUACAUGUGAAGCUUCAAGUUUGGUAUCUGCACAAUUUCUCAAUGGUUGAUGACAGAAGUAUCUCUGAUACGGAGUCUCAGUGUACUUUGUAGUGAGGUUGCAAAUUCAAGCACUAAUGCAAUGCUUCCUGUCAGCCUCCUGAGAAGAUCACACUGGAGACCACUACUCUGAUCUAUGAUAUAAACUGCAAGAACUUUCCUGAUGAGGAAUAGGACUCUGUGUUUAUACCCUUAACCAAUGCUGUAACUGAGCUGUUCACUAGAGAGUAGCUGCAAGGAAUGGAAAAUUUGAUGAGCCACACUGAGGAAGACUGAGGAAGCGGAGAGCUGACAUCAAUUCACAUUAUGGUGUAAUCAUUUUUCUAUAAACGGAAAACCAGAAGUCUCAACUAUCCCGGACUCCUGAGAUCUCUUAGACAUUGAGCCCAACCAGCAUCAUAGAAGAAUUGGUGGGAGGACACUGACACAUAUACAACAGAGGACUUCCUGGGCUGGUCUCAGUCAAUGUCUUUGAAUAACUGUCCAUUGCAUUUGGUGGCCAGAUGAUGGUGUGAGAUCCCCUGAAACUGGAAUUAGUGAUAUUUGUGAGUUGCCUUGUGGGUUCAGGAGAGUUAACCUGGUUUCCCUGGAAGAUCAGACAGUCCUUUUUAUUACUGAGCCAUACCUCCAUUCCCUCUUCUUAAUUCUGUUUUUAAUUCUUCUCCCACGUAUUACAUCUCCAAAACAGAGCUUUUCAUCUCUCCUCUCCUCAGGGUCAGUCUUCCCCACCUGUAUCUCCCCCCAAGACCGUUCCUGUAUUAUUGUCAUGUGUCUCUAAUGUAGUAUCUUGUUUGUGGAGUUUUGUUAUUUGGUUACACUGUCAGUGCUAAAAAGAUUUGUUGUAAGAUUUAAAUUUGUGUUUUGUUUUUUAAAUAAUUUUAAAGGAAAUUUAUUGUGUUUGCAAAAUAUUGUCAAUAUUAAAAUAUGAACAUUCUCUAUGUUUAUUUUGUGGUUCAGUGGUAGCUAUCAACAUGGCAGAAUCUGAAAUCAACUUGGAGGCAAGUCCUUCGGACAUCUGUGAGGGGUCAUCUUGUUGUUUGAAGAACUAUCUUAAUUGUAGCUAAGAACAUCCCCUGGGUGGAAAAUCCUGUAUUGUAUAAAAUGAUGAAGGCAGGAGAAAUGGCUUCAAUUCAACAUGAAGUUAAUCCCCCAGACCAUCUUAAGAGUCCAAAGGUGACCUGACUAUCUGAGCCUUCAGGAAGACAUGCUUCAUGGAUCUUAAUUUGGAUUUCUGAACAGAGAAACAGGUCAUUGGUAGAUAAGUUAAACUUUCAAAAUCAGAGAGGAUCCUAUAAUUCUUAUCCAGUAUUGUAUAGGUAUCAAUUGCACAUAGCUUCUAAUUAGAGGUAGGACUCCAUUUCUGUUUCUCCUGUUUACCUCUGAGUCUUUUGUUCAGUUUGAACUCAGAAAUCUUGUGUAUGCUUGAAUAAUCGCUGUGAGUGGAAAUGUUUCUAGGUCCUGUUGUACAUGGAAGAGUCUUGUUCUUGAGAGUCAUCUAUCAUCUCUUGCUCCUAAAGUCUUUCUAAUUCCCCUCCCCAUAGAUUUGUGAUGCUUCAGGGGAAAGGUUCGAUGAAGAAAUCUUACUCAGGACAAGUGCUCCAAAGUCUCUCACUGUCUACAAUAUCCAGUUGCAGUUCUCCAAGCUAGUUCCCAUCUACUAGAGGAAGAAGCUCCUCUGAUGUGAGUUAAGUAAUGCACUGGUCUAUGGAUAUAACUAUGUAAUUUUGAGUCACUUCAUUGUAAUGUGACAUUUGCAGAAUUAUACUGGUUUUCUACUAGACCCAUUUUUGGGUUCUUGAGCACAUUAACAGUGUCUUGUAUGAGUCU
rnacentral:sRNA from 1 species